rnacentral:rRNA from 1 species
UACGUAGGGUGCGAGCGUUGUCCGGAAUUAUUGGGCGUAAAGAGCUCGUAGGCGGUGUGUCGCGUCGGCCGUGAAAACCUGGGGCUCAACUCUGGGCGUGCGGUCGAUACGGGCAUCACUUGAGUUCGGCAGGGGAGACUGGAAUUCCUGGUGUAGCGGUGAAAUGCGCAGAUAUCAGGAGGAACACCGGUGGCGAAGGCGGGUCUCUGGGCCGAUACUGACGCUGAGGAGCGGAAAGCAUGGGUAGCGAACAGG